CGCUGAAAGCAUCUAAGCGGGAAGCGCGCCUCAAGAUGAGAUCUCCCGGGGCACAAGCCCCCUGAAGGAACCAUGUAGACUACGUGGUUGAUAGGUCAGGUGUGUAAGUACAGCAAUGUAUUGAGCUAACUGAUACUAAUGAUCCGUGCGGCUUGACCAUAUAACCUCA
rnacentral:rRNA from 1 species